GUUACACCCUUCUGAUAGCACUGAUAAACUCGUCUGCCGGGAGGGUAGAGUCACAUCACACAGUCCCACAUUCUGACAUUAGUCAGCUUUUGGACAUCAGCCUUCACCACACAGCUCUACACAGUGCAGACAGACGCUUGUAUUUAGAAAGACCAUCUAGCGAGUGACCUCAUGGGACCGGAAGGUGAUAAUUAUUCGUUGUCGCUCACUGCGCCCAUGCACAGAUGGAGUCUCAGGUGAUAGAGUCCAAUGCCCAAGGCCACCCAGAAAUUGAGGAGAGAGCCACCCUUCUGAUGCAGCAAGGGAGGCUUAGAGAAGGCGCGGAACUCGUUCGCGGAGGAGCCACUGGGCUCCCAGUGUCUGCGGACUUCAGCUGUCCUUCCCACGCCACCGAGGACCGCCGCACGCAGCUCAGGCAAAAUCGCCACCGGGGUCGACAUCAGUGGCGCUGAGUCAGGACUGGACCUCGAGGCUCUUGGGUUCGCUCUGAGACGCUUGACCCCCGUGGUCGGUGACCCCAGAGUCGCGAGCCCCCCUGCCCUGUCCUCCCUGCCCACGGGACCAGGCCUUCCCGGGAAACCUGCGCUCUGGUCAAAGCCGCCUUGGUCAAAGCCUUCCUCGUCCGUUCAGAAGUUUCUCCAGUGCCCAUUCUGUGCUGGGGCUACGCUGGAAUCCCAGAGUCUCCAGUGAACAAAACGCUCUCUCUGCCUUCGAGGCACUUGAGGCUGACCAGAGAGUCCCUUAGUAACUGGCAGUGCCCCUCGGGCCCCGGUCCUCGAAGCAUGAAGAGCCAGGAGACCACCCCCCACGCCCCCACCCCCACCGAGGCCCAUAUCUUGUGGUUCACUAAGUAGUGAACCAGAUCCUUCAGUCUGAUGAGUUAUAACGUCCUUGUCCGGAAACGAAGGGGUUUAGAUGGGAGGGUAACUUUCACAAUCUCAUUAGCAGGGGAAGCCCCUUUUCACAUGAAAUCUUACUUGGAUGGUGAAUAACAGUUAACCUUUAUUAAGCUCUUACUGUCCCAGCCACCCUUCGGAACCCCCUUGUGUAGGAAUCUGUAGUGCCCUGUGCUACGGCUGUGCUUCAACAAGCAAGUUUAAAACCGUUGGGUUGGGGCACCUGGGUGGCUCGGUCGGUUAAGCAUCUGACUUCGGCUCAGGUGAUGAUCUCACAGUCCGUGAGUUCAAGCCCCGCGUCGGGCUCUGUGCUGACAGCUCAGAGCCUGGAGCCUGUUUCAGAUUCUGUGUCUCCCUCUCUAUGACCCUCCCCCGUUCAUGCUCUGUCUCUCCCUGUCUCAAAAAUAAAUAAAAAAUUAAAAAAAUAAGAAAAAAAAAAAA